rnacentral:piRNA from 1 species
UCCAGACUUUCAGUUCGAUUGGGCCAGCUG